rnacentral:rRNA from 1 species
AGAGUUUGAUCCUGGCUCAGGAUGAACGCUGGCGGCGUGCCUAAUACAUGCAAGUCGAACGGUUUGCCGGAGACGGCAGAUAGUGGCGAACGGGUGAGUAACGCGUUGGUGACCUGCCCUUUAGAGCGGGAUAACAUGCCGAAAGGGAUGCUAAUACCGCAUGAGCUCGCGGGGAUUAGGAGACUGCGAGGAAAGCCAGACGUCUCGAGAGGGGCGAUGGCGCUGAAGGAGGGGCCUGCGACCCAUCAGCUAGUUGGUAGGGUAAAAGCCUACCAAGGCGAUGACGGGUAGGGGACCUGAGAGGGUGGCCCCCCACAAUGGAACUGAAACACGGUCCAUACACCUACGGGUGGCAGCAGUAGGGGAUAUUGGUGAAUGUGCGAAAGCGCGAACCAGCAACGCCGCGUGCACGAUGAAGGCCUUCGGGUCGUAAAGUGCUUUUUGGAGGGAUGAGGAAGGACAGUACCUUCAGAAUAAGCCUCGGCUAACUACGUGCCAGCAGCCGCGGUAAGACGUAGGAGGCGAGCGUUAUCCGGAUUUACUGGGCGUAAAGCGUGUGCAGGCGGUUUGGUUAGUUGGAUGUGAAAGCUCCUGGCUUAACUGGGAGAGGUCGUUCAAUACUGCCAGACUUGAGGAUGGGAGAGGAAGGUGGAAUUCCGAGUGUAGUGGUGAAAUGCGUAGAUAUUCGGGGGAACACCAGUGGCGAAAGCGGCCUUCUGGCCCAUCUCUGACGCUCAUACACGAAAGCUAGGGGAGCAAACGGGAUUAGAGACCCCGGUAGUCCUAGCUGUAAACGAUUAAACGGGGUCGGCGGGUUUAAAUCCGUAGGUGCCGGAGCUAACGCGUUAAGUCCACCCGCCCUGGGGACUACGGCCGCAAGGUUAAAACUCAAAGGAAUUGACGGGGGCCCGCACAAGCAGCGGAGCGUGUGGUUUAAUUCGAUGUUACACGAAGAACCUUACCAGGGUUUGACAUACAGGUAGUAGGGAACUGAAAAGGGACCGACCCUUCGGGGAGCCUGUACAGGUGCUGCAUGGCUGUCGUCAGCUCGUGUCGUGAGAUGUUCGGUUAAGUCCGCUAACGAGCGCAACCCUCGCUGUGUGUUACAUGUGUCACACGGGACUGCCGGUCUUAAGCCGGAGGAAGGUGGGGAUGACGUCAAGUCAGCAUGGCCUUUAUAUCCUGGGCUACACACACGCUACAAUGGCCAACACAAUAGGUCGCGAAGCCGCGAGGCGGAGCCAAUCCUCAAAGUUGGUCUCAGUUCAGAUUGCAGUCUGCAACCCGACUGCAUGAAGACGGAGUUGCUAGUAACCGCAGGUCAGCUAUACUGCGGUGAAUACGUUCCCGGGCCUUGCACUCACCGCCCGUCA